GCCCCCUCCCCACGGCCCGGGGGCGGGGGGUCCGUGCAGCCCCCGCCCGCCCCGGUGCCGCGGAGGGGCCGCUCUGCACUCUCCCGCGAUGGAGCGGGCGGCGGGCGAGGCCCGGCCCCUGCUGCCGGCCGCGGGCCGCUCCAACGGGCUCUCCCCGCCCGGGCUCUCCUCCGCCGGCGCCGUCUUCAUCCUGCUCAAGUCCGCGCUGGGCGCGGGGCUGCUGAGCUUCCCCUGGGCCUUCGGCAGGGCGGGCGGGGCCGUGCCCGCGCUCCUGGUGGAGCUGGGCUCGCUGCUGUUCCUGGUCAGCGGGCUGGCCGUGCUGGGCUAUGCCGCGGCCCGCAGCGCCCAGCCCACCUACCAGGGCGUGGUGCGGGCCGUGUGCGGGGCGGCCGUGGGGAAGCUCUGUGAGGUCUGCUUCCUCCUCAACCUCUUCAUGAUCUCCGUGGCCCUCCUCAGGGUGGUGGGCGACCAGCUGGAGAAACUGUGUGACUCCCUGUACCCCAAUGGGACUCUGAGUGGGGCCCCCCAGCUGCCCCCCUGGUACGUGGACCAGCGCUUCACCCUCUCAGCUCUCUGUGUCCUUGUCAUCUUCCCGCUCUCCGUCCCCAGGGAGAUCGGCUUCCAGAAGUACUCCAGCAUCCUGGGCACCCUGGCUGCCUGCUACCUCACUCUGGUCAUCAUUCUGAAAUACUACCUGCAGGCAGAGAGCCUGCGUUUGACUGAGCCCCCCCAGCCCUCCAGGUCCUCCUCCUGGACCUCCAUCUUCAGUGUCAUUCCCACCAUCUGCUUUGGCUUCCAGUGCCACGAGGCAUGCGUGGCCAUCUACAGCAGCAUGCGCAACCAGAGCUUCUCCCACUGGGUCACCGUCUCUGUGCUCUCCAUGCUCAUUUGCCUGCUCAUCUACUCCCUCACUGGGCUCUAUGGCUACCUGACCUUCGGCGAGGCCGUGGCGUCCGAUGUCCUGAUGUCCUACCCAGGGAAUGACCCGCUUGUCAUCGUCGCCCGCCUGCUCUUUGGCAUCUCCAUCGUCACCAUUUACCCCAUCGUGGUGCUGCUGGGCAGAUCCGUGGUGAGGGACCUGUGGGCAGCCCCGAAGCGCGGGGCCGCGGCGGGCGCGGCCCAGGAGCGGCGCAGCCGGGUGGCACUGACGGUCUCCUGGAUGGCCGCCACGCUGGGCAUCGCCCUCUUCGUGCCCGACAUCGGCAAAGUCAUCGAACUCAUCGGGGGCAUCAGCGCCUUCUUCAUCUUCAUCUUCCCAGGGCUGUGCCUCGUGUGCAUGACUGGGACCCACAGCCUCGGGCCACGCAAAAGGGCGGUGUGUCCCCACCACUGCUGCUGUCUGGAGGGGCUGGGGCACAGCAGCAGAACAUGCCAGGGGGACCUGAGUGAGUUUUGGGAUAAGUGUGUGCUUCAGCAUGUCUGUGGUGCCCCUGGGGAGCAGCAGAGUCUGAGGGAGGAUGGAGGUUAUGUGCAGGGUGGAGGCAGCACCCCAGGAUAUCGGGGUCUUGGUCAGAGGGGGCUCUGGGGAACCAUGAACAUCUGGGGAGGGGUGAGGGUGCCCCAAAGGGUGCCAAAGUGCUGGAGGGGCCAAGGCAGAGGGUCAGCAGAGGCACCCAGGUGGGUGACAAAGGCUUGGAGAGGUCCCUUGGGGACCUACCAGAGCAUGAGCCCAUCAUGAGGAGAGGGACAACACGAGCUGGGGCGAUGGAGACUGCAAGGGGACAGUCCGGGAAGGAGCACGGUGCUGAGAGCCCUGCGACAGAGCAGCAGCUGGGUCUGGGGGCUGCUCUCAUCGCCUGGGGCGUUCUCUCCGUUCUCGGCGGUGCCUUCGUGUGCG